CCUACGGGAGGCAGCAGUGAGGAAUAUUGGUCAAUGGCCGGAAGGCUGAACCAGCCAUGCCGCGUGAAGGUCAGUGCCCUAUGGGCGUUAAACUUCUUUUGUGCGGGAGCAAUAAUGGUCACGUGUGGCCAGACGAGAGUACCGUACGAAUAAGCAUCGGCUAACUCCGUGCCAGCAGCCGCGGGAAUACCGGGGAUGCAAGCGUUAUCCGGAUUUAUUGGGGUUAAAGGGUGCGUAGGCUGGGAGGUAAGGCAGCGGGGAAAUGCCCCCGCGCAAUGGGGUGAAGUGCAAUUGAUACUGCCUUGCUGGAGUGCGGAUGCGGUGGGAGGAAUGUGUGGUGUAGCGGUGAAAUGCAUAGAUAUCACACAGAACACCGAUUGCGAAGGCAUCUCACGAAUCCGCGAUUGACGCUGAUGCACGAAAGCGUGGGUAUCAAACAGGAUUAGAUACCCGAGUAGUC
rnacentral:rRNA from 1 species